UACGUAGGGGGCAAGCGUUGUCCGGAUUUAUUGGGCGUAAAGAGCGUGUAGGCGGCUUUACAGGUCCGUUGUGAAAACUCGAGGCUCAACCUCGAGACGCCGGUGGAAACCGUAAAGCUAGAGUCCGGAAGAGGAGAGUGGAAUUCCUGGUGUAGCGGUGAAAUGCGUAGAUAUCAGGAGGAACACCGGUGGUGUAGACGGCUCUCUGGACCGUAACUGACGCUGAGACACGAAAGCGUGGGUAGCAAACAGG
rnacentral:rRNA from 1 species